rnacentral:rRNA from 1 species
AUUGAACGCUGGCGGUAUGCUUAACACAUGCAAGUCGAACGAUGAGAAAGAGCUUGCUCUUUCGAUUAGUGGCGGACGGGUGCGUAACGCGUAGGAAUCUACCUAUUAGGGGGGGACAACUUAGGGAAACUUAAGCUAAUACCGCAUACGCCCUACGGGGGAAAGAAGGGGAUCGCAAGACCUUUUGCUAAUAGAUGAGCCUGCGUAGGAUUAGCUAGUUGGUGGGGUAGAAGCUCACCAAGGCGACGAUCCUUAACUGGUUUGAGAGAAUGAUCAGUCACACUGGAACUGAGACACGGUCCAGACUCCUACGGGAGGCAGCAGUGGGGAAUAUUGGACAAUGGGCGAAAGCCUGAUCCAGCAAUACCGCGUGUGUGAAGAAGGCCUUAGGGUUGUAAAGCACUUUCAAUUGGAAGGAAAACCUCGAAGCUAAUACCUUCGAGUUUGACAUUACCUUUAGAAGAAGCACCGGCUAACUCCGUGCCAGCAGCAGCCGCAG